rnacentral:lncRNA from 1 species
AGGCGCCCGUAUCCAGCCACGGCCGGGAGCCCAGGAGUAUCCCGAGGCUGCACGGGGUAGGGGUGGGGGGCGGAGGGCGAGUCUUGGUCUUGAGCUGCUGGGGCGCGGAUUCUCUUUCAAAGCCAGAACCAGGCCUGUCCCGGACCCGCGUCCCGGGGAGGCUGCAGCGCAGAGCAGCGGGGCUGGGGCCGGUGGGGGGCCGUUUGGGACGCGCGGAGAGGUCCUGAGCGCGGUGGCUCUGCGUCUCCUAGCUCUGAUCUCCAGGCUACCCCUGUGAUUCCGCGCAGAGGUACCUCUCGGAGGACGCCGGGGUCCCAUGGGCGGCGCCGCGCAGGGCGCUAGGACCCCGCGGGGAGCGGAGGCGGCCUCGGCCCGGGAGCCUGGAGGACCUGGCCGGUCGAUCCGCCCGGGCUGGAAAACUUUCUUUAUAAUUACUUCUCCAGGUCGGAGCGCGCGGCUUGCUAGGCGCGCGGGGCCGGCGCUGUUACCCGGCGUGGAGUCGCCGAUUUUUUUUCCUGCGGGACCGCGGGGCCCCCCAGACUAGCGGAGCUGGACGCCGGGGCGAGCACGGGGAGGGGCGCACCGAGGGAGGAGACAAACUUAACUCUGGGGCCGGGAUUCCGAGGCGGGGGCCGCAGCCCUCGAGGCCCGAAGCCACCGCUUCCUCCCCCGCCUCCCCAUUCAGGAACAAAGAAACGCCACUGUACAUGCACGGUUCCCGGCCUGUGGAGUUGUGGGAGGAAGGCGAUGUCUGGCCUUUUUUGCACAGCUGCUGUUGCCUGCCCAGAGAUCGGGAACUCUGCCCCGUAGGACUGGAAGAAACCUCAGUAAUGGGAAUAAGACUUUGUCCAAUAGGGGGCUGAUGAAUGUGUGGGGGCGACAAUGGCAAGGAGUGGGACUCCCGGCCCGGGGUUCGCCAACCCCAGGGGCCACAGGUCCUCCUACAAUUGAACCAGAAUUCACCCACCCGGGCCUGCCCUGUGCAGGGUGCCGAGAGCCCAGGGAUGCAUGAGAGGGUGGCUCCUGCCUCUGGGAACUGGGACAGUGGGAGAGACGGAUAAGUUGUCACACAGAGGCUGCUGGGAGGAAGGAGGAGACAGAAGGAGUAGGGGAUGGGACUUCAUUCAUUCAUCAAAUGCACACGAGGCACAAAUGGGAAUCAAGGGUGGAUGUGCUGUGAUGAAGAGAAGUCCUGCCCUGAACAAGGUGGCGCUGUGGAGGAGGCAGAGAUCAGAUUUGUCUGCGGAGGUGUUAUGGACUGAACUGUGUCCCUGCCCCAAAUUCCUAUGUUGAAGGCCUAACCCCCAUGUGACUGUAUUUGGAGAUAAGGCUUUUAGGAAGUCAUUAAAGUGAGAUGAUGUCAUAUGGGUAGGGUCCUAAUUUGAUAGGAUUGGUGGCCUUAUCAGAAGAACAAUGUCAUGGGCAUGCACAGAAAGGAGGUGGCCGUCUGCAAGCAGGGAAGAGGCCCCUCACCAGAACCUGAGGGUGCUGGCAGCUUGGCUUUGGCCUUGGGCAUCCAGCCUCCAGAACCAUGAGAAAUAAAUGUUUAUGGUAGGUCUAUGAUGGCAGCCUGCUUGGACUGAACCGGCGGUGAGACAGGGCUUCAUGCAGGAGCAGACCUUUGAGCUGGGCCUUGAAAGUUGAGCAGGAAUUUGCUGGAAGGAUAAGGGAGGAAGGCUCUUCUAGGAGGAGGGAAUGGUAAGUGCAAAGGUGGAGAGCCUGCCAGUGCAUGUGUUCUGGUAACAAAGAACGAGAUGGUUGGCCGGCUGGAGAGUGGGGUGAGGGAGGGUGGGGCCUAGAUAAGGCUGGAUCCGCAGACAGGGCUGGGCUGAUGGCCAAGGCCACUGCAGGUGAAGGGGGAACCCUUAUCUCCCAGGCUUUUGACCUCCAGAUUUUAGCAGGGGAGCUUCGUUGUCGGAUUUGGGUUCCUGAGAAUCUACUCUGGCCAAGACGGAGAGGGGGUGUUGACCAGAUGGGAAAGGAUGGAGACUUGUAUUGCCCCAGUAAUGAGCGGGCAGGGUAGAUUAGAACAAGAUGUCAGGACUUGGGGGCUGAAUGCCAGGCUUCUGGCUGGGAUUACCACCCCCUGACACAUAUAAUGCCCAGGAAAUUGGAGGCCCCUCUCCAAGCCCCCAGGAGGCCACUGGGGACUCAUUCCAGGAUACUCACCUGCCUGCUUUGUGGUUUUGGAGGGGAAGACCUUGGAGCAGUUGCGAAGAUCCAUCUACCAUGUUCUGGUUUUUCCUUGGAAGCCUAAAAGUGUACCUCGGGAUGAGGAGGAAAUGGUUUUGAGGGCAAGUGGUAGGUCUCUGGCUAGGCCUGGCGGGGUUCUCAGAGGACAGGGGGUGUCUAGGGCCCUAGAUAGAAGUGUCCUGCCCAAGCCCUAAAGCAGGAAAUUAGCUGGGGAGUUGGGGUGAGACCCUGGGGUCGAUGGAGGCACUUUCCAUGGGAGAGUCCCACAGGGUAAGGGAGAGGGGGCUGAUGUCUGACAGUCUCAUAGACAGUUGGCUUGUGGCUGGAGAAGUGGGAGCAAAGGAGAAAUCACCUUUGAUUGGGAGAAGUGGCUCUGGCUCAUGUGCAACUGAGACAAAGCCAGUCCUAAGAGCAGCUUGUAAAUUCUUCUGUGACCACCUUUAAGGUCCUUCUUCCUGAGGCUGUGGAUGGGGGUGUACACAGGCCCAGUGUGGGGGGUUGAGCGUGAGUCCCCGGGAAACGGUGGUCCUGAGUUUUGGAUGCUCCAGGAUGAAGCCUGAUUCUGGAGUCAAUCACAGCACUAACCAUUUUGAGAAGACAAACAGAGCCCUAGAAAUGUUUUAUUUUACUUUGGUUUAACCUUCCUAAUGCAAGGCCCACGAGAGAAUUAGUACGUAAGUUUGGAAAUCAAUCAAAUUCUGAAGAGCAAAAACGGAACUAACCCUUCUGAUGUAGUUUUCUGACUUUAUCUGAAGCUGAAAUGUGUGUGUAAGAUUGGUCGCUCCAAACAGGACCAAUUCAGAUAAGAUAAAAGUCCAGAACUAUGAUUUCAGGCUCAGCUGAGCUCUGGCUAGGGGUACAAGUAUCUAAUAUGGUAUAGCUAAUAAUGUCUCAAUCAUUCAAUAAGAUACUCUCAAAGGCCUUCCUCCAACUAGACAAACAAAACAAAAUAAAAACACUAGUUACUUUUUGUUACAAAUGGAUUCAUAAACGGUUUUAUACUGAUUCAUUUUAGGCUUUAGAUCUUGACAUGUAAAGCAUAUGAACUCAACGCAUAAUCAACCCAAAGUCCAGUGUUUCUUUUUCUUUCUUCUUUUUUUUUUCGAGACAGGGUCUCACUCUGUUGCCCAGGCUGGAGAGCAGUGGUUGGAUCUCAGCUCAAUGCAACCUCCGCCUCCCAGGCUCAAGUGAUCCUCCCACAUCGGCCUCCUGGGUAGCUGGGACUACAGGCAUGCACCACCAUGCCUGGCUAAUUUUUUGUAUAGAUGGGGUUUCACCACGCAGCCCAGGCUGGUCUCGAACUCCUGAGCUCAAGUGAUCCUCCCACCUCGGCUUUCCAAAGUGCUGGGAUUUACAGGUGUAAGCCACUGUGUCCGGCCUAGUGUUUUUUAUCCACAGGCGCCCAGCUCUACCCAUGAGAUUACUUAUCCUGUCUCCCCAGGAGGCAGGUGGUGUAGGGAGCUGCUGGGAGGAUUAGGGAGAAUGUUGUGCCAAGGCCAGUUCCUGGCAUGCAGGACACACUUGCUCAGUAAAUAAGAGCUUGGCAUACGCUUCCCUACUCUCCUUGUCUCUCCAUAAGUGCACUUUUGAGGUUCUAGUUUCCCCCAAAACUUUGAAUAUUAAGCAACUCAUUUCUUUUUUUCUUUUUCUUUUCUUUUCCCUUCCUUCCUUCCUUCCUUCCCUCCCUCCCUUCUUUCUUUUCUUUCUCUCUCUCUCUCUCUUUCUUUCUUUCUUUUCUUUCUUUCUUUCCUUCCUUCCUUCCUUCCUUCUUUUUUUUCUUUCUGACAUGGGGUCUUGCUGUGUCACCCAGGCUACAGUACAGUCAUGCAAUCUCAGAUCACUGCAACCUCUGUCUCCCAGGUUCAAGCGAUUCUCCAACCUCAGCCUCUGGAGUAGCUGGGACUACAGGCAUGCACCACCAUGCUCGGCUAACUUUUGUAUUUUUCGUAGAGACAGGGUUUCACCAUGUUGGCCAGGCUGGUCUCAAACUCCUGACCUCAGGUGAUCUGCCUGCCUCGGCCUCCCAAAAUGCUGGGAUUACAGGUGUGAGCCACCACACCAGGCCUAAGCAACUCAUUUCAACACAUAGUUAUGGAAUAUUCUGGCAGUGUAUUAGGCUGAGGUUCUCUGUGUGUUCUGCGGAAAAGUACCUAGAAGGCAUGGUACUCUAUGCAGAACGUUCCAAGGCAUAACAAAUUCUGUCUUCAUAAGGUAGAGAUCAUUUAACCAUUAGGAAGUGUAACUAUAUUGUAUGUAUACCACAUAAAAUCACAACCAUAAGUACUCAAGUCUAUAACGAGUCCAUACUGUCAAAUUCACAAAAAUCAGCUGUUUCCAGUUUUCUCUCUCUCUCUCUCUGUCCUGUCUUUUUUUAUUUUUUUUUGAGAUGGACUCUUCCUCUGUCACCCAGGCUGGAGUGCAGUGGCAUGAUCUCGGCUCACUGCAACCUCUGCCUCCCCGGUUCAAGCAAUUCUCCUGCCUCAGCCUUUCAAGUAGCUGAGAUUACAGGUGAGUGCCACCAUGCCUGGCUAAUUUUUGUAUUUUUAGUAGAGACGGGGUUUCACCAUGUUGGCCAGGCUGGUCUUGAACUCCUGACCUCAGGUGAUUCACCAGCCUCAGCCUCCCAAAGUGCUGGGAUUACAGGCGUGAGCCACCGUGCCCAACCUCCAGUUUUUUCUUAAUAUUCAUCUACUAUACCAUGUGUGUGAUUUCUUUUGUCAUUUUUCAUGUUUAUAAUAUAGUUAGGCUUUGUGUCCCUGCCCAAAUGUCAUCUUGAAUUAUAAUCCCUGUAUUCCCCACAAUCCCCAUGUGUCAAGGGAGAGACCAGGUAGAGGUAAUUGAUUCAUGGGGGCAGUUUCCCCCCAACGUUGUUCUCAUGAUAGUGAGUUCUCAUGAGAUCUCAUGGUUUCAUAAGGGGCUCUUCCCUCUUCUCUCGGCACUUCUCCUUCCUGCCGCCUUGUGAAGAAGGUGCCUUUCUUCCCCUUCAUCUUCUGCCAUGAUUGUAAGUUUCCUGAGGCCUCCCCAGCCAUGCUGAACUGUGAGUCAAUUAAACCUCUUUUCUUAAAUUACCCAGUCUCAGGCAGUUCUUUACAGCAGUAUGAGAAAGGACUAAUACAGUUUGUUGAUUUUAUUUGCUUGCAACUGCUAGCAGGUAAGCAGUAGCUGGCACCAAACAUUCUAGAAAAAGAAAAUUGAGUCAAAAUUUAAAAAUCAGGGCUGGGCACACUAGUUCAUGCCUGUAAUGGCAGCACUUUGGGAGGCCAAAGUGGGAGGAUGUCUGGAGGCCAGGAAUUUGAGACCAGCCCGAGCAACAUAGUGAGACCCCGUCUAUAAAAAAAAUGAAAAAAAUUAGCGGGCAUGGUGAUGUGAGCCUGUAGUCCCAGCUACUCGGGAGGCUGAGGCAGGAGAAUUGCUUGAACCUUGGCGUUUGAGGCUGAGGUGAGCUAUGAUGGCACCACUGCACUCCAUCCUGGGUGAUAAAGCAAGAUCCUGUCUCUAAGAAAAUAAUUAAAAAAAAAAUAAACAUUCAGAAAAUUCUAUCUAGUAAUUUUGUUGAGCAAAUUGGGAAAAGCCCUUCAUUCUAUUUUGGUGGAAAACUUCUUUGGUAAAUGAUGGGUCCCCAAACUCUGCAUCUAGCAUUUGGGGAGCACUGCAGAAGGCAAGCAUUGGAUGUGGCAGGUCGCCCAUGCUUCUGUGAGAUCCGAGACAAGAGUACAAAUGGCAGCCCCCAUAGCAUCUGUUUAAAUAUGAAAAGUUACCAAUCAAACUGAGAAACCGUUAGAGAAAAUAUGUUCUACCUUCUUGUCUUAACACAUACAUCUUUAUCAUGUCCUAGAAGACCGGAUAGAAUCUGGUUUGGGAACAUGGUGGUGUGGGGAUACCCAGCCAUACCAAUUCUCUUCCCAUCCCAUCCUCUAUUCCAUUCCCCGCCAGAAAGGUCCUGAGUCAGGGGUGUGGAUUCCCAACACAGGGCACAAAUGCCGCCUGUGCCCCUUGAAAAAUGCCACACCUUCUUCCUUCCCACAUCCUGGGGCUUGGGGGCCUGGUGAAGAGGACCACGCAGGUCCAGGCAGCUGGCCCUGGGCUGCUAGGGCAGGAAACUCCUUCGCCCGUGGGCAGGAGCAGCCAGAGCGGGACUAGCGGGCGCCCUCUCCUGUGAGGGUCCAGCACAGGGGCCCUCCUGCCUGAGUCUAAGGGUGGGACUAGGCCGGCACUCACAGGGCAAGCAGGAGAGCAGGGACCCCACUGGUCCUCGCCUUGUCUGGGGGCCCCUGGCCCUGCUUCUGUAGGAGGACACGACAGUUGGCAAUAAUUCCACACCUGUGUCCCCAGUUCUUCCCUUCCCUCCACCUCACCAUUCACAUCCUGCUUCUUCCCUUCCCUCCACCUCACCAUGCACAUCCUGCUUCCAGCCCCGGGGCUUUCUCACCUGGACCACUGCACCAGCCUCUGACUGGCCUCCCUGUGGCUUUCCCUGCUGCCAUGCCCCCCACUCUCUCCACAAAGUAGCCCGAGUUAUCCCUUAAACAUGCACUCAGCCUGUAAUCCCAGUGCUUUGGGAGGCUGAGGUAGGAGGAUCACUCGGGGCCACGAGUUGGAGACCAGCCUUGGCAACAUAGCAAGACCUCCCUCUCUACAAAAAAAAGUUUUUUUAAAAAAACAAAGUGAAACAUGCACUCAGAUCACACCACUCACCAACUUAAACCCUCCUGUCACCACCCAUUGCGCAUGGGAGAAAACCCGUGUACAUCCAGCUGGCCACAGACCCUGCCUAAAUUGGCACUCGUCUCUGCUCAUGCCCCAUCCGCUCCUUGACUCCCUAGCUGGCUUUGCCAAGCAGAGCGUCUCCCAGCCGCAAGGUGCUGCGCUUUGCACUUUUGGUUCCCUGGAAUGCUCUUCCCAGGUUGGCACGACUCCUUCCUUCCUGUCAUUUGAGAAGGGGCUCUCAGGUUCCUCGCAGGGACCUGCUGCACACUCGUCACCCCUCCCCCAUUGUUCCGUAGGCCACUGUGUGUUUUAUUUUCCUCAUAGCACCCUCUAAAAAUGGUAUUUUAUGUGUUCCUUAUCAGCUUCUCCCCACUAGAGUGCCAACUCCACAAACGCAGGAACCUUGUCUGUCCUGUUCUGCCCAUUCCCAGAGCUAGGGCCAGCCUCAGCCUAUGCGAGAGCCUCAAAUAUUUGUUGAACGAACACAGAUGGAUUUGACUGCAGAAAACUGCUACCCCGCCACCCUCCUGGAACUGAGUCUGUUCCUAAGCCUAGAGUUGUUCAAGGGUGGCCCUGAAGGAUGCUGGAGAAGACCCGACUGACCCCCGGGUCAGGGAUCACUACAUCUGACUCAGUCCGGAGCUUCCUGAAGCAGUUUCAGGCAAGGCUGCCAGGGCCUGGAGGACCUGCUCAGUGCCUUUAGGGUAACUCCAAAGAGGCCACUGACAGGCAGUUAUGGCCCCCAGGGGCUUGGCUAAGCAAGAAGAACCUUUGUAGGGAGGAAAAUGGGGCCUUUUUUCGGGGUAGCUGCAGUCCAGCCAGGACACAAGGCUUUGUGAGCAGAGGUCACCUGAGUUGGGCCCUACCUGAAGCGCCCCCUCCACCAUGGCUCCAGAGCUCCCCCUACCUGUAGGGCACUGCCAGGAGGGGCGCCCAGGGAAGCAUGGACAUGGCUGAGUAUCAGACCCACCUAGGGAAAUGGGCCUGUCUCCCAGCUGGCUCAUAGGGGCCACAGGGACUGCUCUAUCCUGCCGACUUGGCAGGCCCCACUGCUCCAGAGAUAGGGUGGAGUCCUUGGAGCCCAUUCUUGUGCACCCACCGUUCUGACCCCAUUUCUUCUCUUUGCUGAAUUCCAAGGAUUUGUGCCUCAAGAGGCAUCUUUUAAAAAAAUUUUAGCUUGAUGCCUCAGCUCACACCUGUAAUCUCAGCACUUUGGGAGGCCAAGGUGAGAGGAUCUCUUGAGGCCAGAGUUUGAGACUAGCCUGGGCAACAUAGUGAAACUUCGUCUCUACGAAAAAUUUUAAAAAUUAACUAGGUGGGGCCAGGCGCGGUGGCUCAAGCCUGUAAUCCCAGCACUUUGGAAGGCUGAGGUGGGCAGAUCACCUGAGGUCAGGAGUUUGAGACCAGCCUGGCUAACAUGGUGAAAUCCUAUCUUUACUAAAAAUACAAAAAUUAGCCAGGUGUGGUGGCGGGCACCUGUAAUCCCAGCUACUCAGGAGGCUGAGGCAGGAGAUUCGCUUGAACCCGGGAGGUGGAGGUUGCAGUGAGCUGAGAUGGCGCCACUGCACUCUGGCCUGGGUAACAGAGUGAGACACUGUCUAAAAAAAAAAAAUUAGCCAGGUGUGACGGUGCAUGCCUGUAGUCCCAGCUACUCAGGAGGCUAAGACAGAGGAUUAUCUGAGCCCAGGAAGUCGCGGUUACAGUGAGCUAUGAUUGUGCCACUGCACUCUAACUUGGGUGACAGAGCAAGACUUUGUCUCUAAAAUUAAAAAAAAAAAAUCCUAAUAAGGUGAGAAGCCAAAUCUUUUGAAAAAUCAAAAUAAGAGUGUCUAGGGGCUGACUGCAUGACAGCCCCAGUUCCAGCCUUUUUUCCUUGUGAUUCUACUCAGCUGCCUCAAGUCUAAGCCCCUCAACACUGUGUAAAGUAGCCCCAAAGUGCAGACAAUGAAGCUACGGGAGGAACGAGCUGCACACAGUGGGCUACUUGGAACAUUUCCAAAGGCUGCAUCUGCUCUAGCACAGUAGUUGGAACUCGAUUUUUCCCAAAGGAAGCUAGUAUCAGGUCCUGCUGUGGCCUGUGGAAACACACUGUCAACUUACAGGUUAAGAAACCGAAUUUUAGAGUGUAAAUUAGUUCAACCGUUGAACUAAUGGUUCACAUUGAAAGCAGUGUGGCAAUUCCUCAAAGAGUUAAAAGCAGAACUACCAUUUGGACCAGCAAUCCCGUUACUAAGUAUAUACCCAGAGGAAUUAAAGCAUUCUAUCAUAAAGACACAUGCAUGCGAAUGUUCACUGCAGCACUAUUCACAAUAGCAAAGACAUGGAAUCAACCUAAAUGCCCAUCAAUGACAGGCUGGAUAAACAAAAUGUGGUACGUAUAUACCGUGGAAUACUAUGCAGCCAUGAAAAAGAAUGAGAUUCUGUCUUUUACAGGGGCUGUUAUCCUUAGCAAACUAACACAAGGACAGAAAACCAUGUUCUCACUUAUAAAUGGGAGCUAAAUGAUGAGAACUCAUGAGCACAAAGAAGGGAACAUCAGAAACUGGGGUUUACUUGAAGGUGGGGGGUGGGAGGAGGGAGAGGAACAGAAAAUAUAAGCUUUGGGUACUGGGCUUAAUACCGGGUGAUGAAAUAUCUGGACACCAAACCCCUGUGACACGAGUUUACCUAUGUAACAAACCACAUGUACCCCUGAACUGAAA